CAGUAGCUCAGUUGGAUAGAGCAACGGCCUUCUAAGCCGUGGGUCGGGGGUUCGAAUCCUCCUG
rnacentral:tRNA from 1 species